UACGGGGGGAGCAAGCGUUGUUCGGAUUUACUGGGCGUAAAGGGCGCGUAGGCGGUCAGCACAAGUCAGUUGUGAAAUCUCCGGGCUUAACUCGGAAAGGUCAACUGAUACUGUGCGACUAGAGUGCGGAAGGGGCAACUGGAAUUCUUGGUGUAGCGGUGAAAUGCGUAGAUAUCAGGAGGAACACCGGUGGCGAAGGCGGGUCUCUGGGCAGUAACUGACGCUGAGGAGCGAAAGCGUGGGGAGCGAACAGG
rnacentral:rRNA from 1 species